rnacentral:rRNA from 1 species
CCUACGGGGGGCAGCAGUGAGGAAUAUUGGUCAAUGGACGCGACUCUGAACCAGCCAAGUAGCGUGCAGGAUGACGGCCCUAUGGGUUGUAAACUUCUUUUAUACAGGAAUAAAGUGAGUCACGUGUGCCUUUUUGCAUGUACUUUAUGAAUAAGGAUCGGCUAAUUCCGUGCCAGCAGCCGCGGUAAUACGGAGGAUCCGGGCGUUAUCCGGAUUUAUUGGGUUUAAAGGGAGCGUAGAUGGGUGGUUAAGCCAGUUGUGAAAGUCUGCGGCUCAACCGUAAAAUUGCAAGGGGUACUGGCAGUCUUGAGUACAGUGGAGGUAGGCGGAAUUCGUGGUGUAGCGGUGAAAUGCUUAGAUAUCACGAAGAACUCCGAUUGCGAAGGCAGCUUACUAUACUGCCACUGACAUUGAGGCUCGAAAGUGUGGGUAUCAAACAGGAUUAGAUACCCGAGUAGUC